rnacentral:lncRNA from 1 species
AGGAUGGCAAUGGCUAUAUUAGUGCUGCAGAACUUCGCCAUGUGAUGACAAACCUUGGAGAGAAGUUAACAGAUGAAGAAGUUGAUGAAAUGAUCAGGGAAGCAGAUAUUGAUGGUGAUGGUCAAGUAAACUAUGAAGAGUUUGUACAAAUGAUGACAGCAAAGUGAAGACCUUGUACAGAAUGUGUUAAAUUUCUUGUACAAAAUUGUUUAUUUGCCUUUUCUUUGUUUGUAACUUAUCUGUAAAAGGUUUCUCCCUACUGUCAAAAAAAUAUGCAUGUAUAGUAAUUAGGACUUCAUUCCUCCAUGUUUUCUUCCCUUAUCUUACUGUCAUUGUCCUAAAACCUUAUUUUAGAAAAUUGAUCAAGUAACAUGUUGCAUGUGGCUUACUCUGGAUAUAUCUAAGCCCUUCUGCACAUCUAAACUUAGAUGGAGUUGGUCAAAUGAGGGAACAUCUGGGUUAUGCCUUUUUUAAAGUAGUUUUCUUUAGGAACUGUCAGCAUGUUGUUGUUGAAGUGUGGAGUUGUAACUCUGCGUGGACUAUGGACAGUCAACAAUAUGUACUUAAAAGUUGCACUAUUGCAAAACGGGUGUAUUAUCCAGGUACUCGUACACUAUUUUUUUGUACUGCUGGUCCUGUACCAGAAACAUUUUCUUUUAUUGUUACUUGCUUUUUAAACUUUGUUUAGCCACUUAAAAUCUGCUUAUGGCACAAUUUGCCUCAAAAUCCAUUCCAAGUUGUAUAUUUGUUUUCCAAUAAAAAAAUU